rnacentral:lncRNA from 1 species
AUUAGUCCUGAAAUGUAGGGCUUUGAAAGAUGGUUGUUGUUCUUACUAAUACUGAGGGGCCUUUGGUGGGGGNNNNGGCUGUGACGCCCGACGAUCCUUCUCCCUUCUUUCUCCAUCAUCUUUGAAUACGACUUUAUUAUUUUAUAUAAACUGCCCUUUCCGUCCGCUCCUUUGUUCAGAACAUCACAACCUGCCCAGUUUCCAUCCUCUUCGUCCUCAGCAGGUAAUAGUUCAGUUCUACUUACUUAUCAACCCACGUAUCCAACUGCUGAUUAUGAGUUUGUCUUGAUUUUG